rnacentral:misc_RNA from 1 species
GAUGAAGAACGUAGCGAAAUGCGAUAAGUAGCGUGAAUUGCAGAAUUCAGUGAAUCAUCGAAUCUUUGAACGCACAUUGCGCCCCUUGGUAUUCCAUGGGGCAUGCCUGUUCGAGCGUCAUUUGUACCUUCAAGCUUUGCUUGGUGUUGGGUGUUUGUCUCGCCUUUGCGUGUAGACUCGCCUUAAAAUAAUUGGCAGCCGGCGUAUUGAUUUCGGAGCGCAGUACAUCUCGCGCUUUGCACUCAUAACGACAGCGUCCAAAAGUACAUUUUACACUCUUGACCUCGGAUCAGGUAGGGAUACCCGCUGAACUUAAGCAUAUCAAUAAGCGGAGGA